rnacentral:rRNA from 1 species
GGCGGCGUGCCUAACACAUGCAAGUCGAACGGAGAUUACGGACGGAAGUUUUCGGAUGGAAGCCUGUAAUUCUUAGUGGCGGACGGGUGAGUAACGCGUGGGCAACCUGCCCUAUACAGGGGGAUAGCAGCUGGAAACGGCUGGUAAGACCGCAUAAGUCGGUUAAAUCGCAUGAUUUGAUCGGGAAAUGAGCAAUCAGGUAUAGGAUGGGCCCGCGUCCGAUUAGCCAGUUGGCAGGGUAAAAGCCUACCAAAGCGACGAUCGGUAGCCGGACUGAGAGGUCGGACGGCCACAUUGGGACUGAGACACGGCCCAAACUCCUACGGGAGGCAGCAGUGGGGGAUAUUGCACAAUGGAGGAAACUCUGAUGCAGCGACGCCGCGUGAGUGAAGAAGUAUUUCGGUAUGUAAAGCUCUAUUCAAG